rnacentral:rRNA from 1 species
UACGUAGGGAGCAAGCGUUGUCCGGAAUCAUUGGGCGUAAAGCGCGCGUAGGCGGCCCCGUAAGUCCGCUGUGAAAGUCAAAGGCUCAACCUUUGAAAAGCCGGUGGAUACUGUGGGGCUAGAGUACGGAAGAGGCGAGUGGAAUUCCUGGUGUAGCGGUGGAAUGCGCAGAUAUCAGGAGGAACACCAAUAGCGAAGGCAGCUCGCUGGGACGUUACUGACGCUGAGGCACGAAAGCGUGGGGAGCAAACAGG